UCCCCCAAUUUACGCGCAGUAAAUAAAAAAAUAAAAUAGAAAAAUGUUGGAGCUAUUUUUGUUCUCCAGUGAAUGAACGAAAAAAGAAAAAGAAAAACGUAUUCCUUGCUUCUCUGUCUAUGAAGAUAGUCAUCACGGAAACCUGUGCAGUUAUAAAUAUGGAUUCAAGGUUCUGAGCUCAGGUCCGUGUGAUUGCUCUGCUUCUAUUUCCAAAGCUUAUGAAGGAAUUUGAGAGAAAUUAGCAAAAAAAAUGAAAGAUUCCGGGGAAGAGCCUAAUGAUGAAUCAUCAAAUUCCCAAAGAGGAUCAAAAAGGCAUAACAGACAUAGCAUGGAACAAAUCCAAAUACUUGAAGCAUUCUUUGAGAACUGUCCGCUUCUAAAUGAAAAUCAACAAAAUCAAUUGGCUAGGGAAGCAAAGCUUGAGCCAAAGCAGGUCACUAUGUGGUUUCAAAACAAAAGGACACAAAUAAAGUGUGAAAGAGUAUCAAAACACAUCUCAAGUGUUCCUGAAAGGCCUUCUGUGACAGUUUCAAAUUUGGCGCCAUCAAAAUCAAAUCUUGUAUAUCCUCCUUCUUUUGGUCAAGAGUAUAAUACUAAUAAUAAUGUUCAAGCACAUUCAGUAAAUACUAAUAAUAUUUCAAUAAUGUCUCCAUCACGACAAGAACAUUACGAACUUCAUGAUAGGCAAAAAACAAAAAUGUUUGAGAUUGUUGUGGCUUCUAUGAAUGAAAUGGUUGAACUUUGGAAAAUAAAUGAUCCAAUUUGGGUAGAUUCAUCAAGUGAAGGGAGGUGUUCUAUUCAUCGUGAGAGUUAUGAAAGAAUAUUUCCAAAUCCAAAUCGACCUUAUUACCAAUCAUCGGCUAAUCGAAUUGAAUCAUCAAAGGAUUGUGAAGUUGUGUCGAUGACUGCAAGUGAGUUGAUCCAUAAUUUUCUUGAUCCAGUCAAAUGGAUGGAGUUGUUUCCUACUAUAGUCACAAAAGCUAGGACUGUUGAAGUUCUUGAUUCGGGGACUUGGGGAGGUUCUAUACAAUUAAUGUAUGAAAAGUUGCAUAUUUUAUCUCCUCUAGUGGAAGCUCGAGAUUUUUUCUUCAUACGUAGUUGUAGACAAUUUGAUCCAAGAACAUGGAUUAUGAUGGAUGUUUCUUAUGAUCCAUUCAAUGAGAUUCAAAGUGGUGUACAUUCUUAUUCUUGGAAGUUUCCUUCUGGUUGUGCUAUUCAAGAUAUAGGUAAUGGCCAAAGUAAGGUUACUUGGGUGGAACAUGUUCAAGUAUAUGAAAAAAAGCAAGUACAUCGUAUCUUUAGAGACUUGUUGUGUGAUCGUCAAACAUACGGAGCUAAAAGAUGGAUUGUUACACUUCAAAGGAUGUCUGAGAGAUAUAAUUUUGCCAUGGGUGCAAUAUGCCCUACUAGGCAUGAUUUUAAUGUGGCUAGAGAAGGGAUGAAAAAUACAAUACAAAUAUCUCAAAGGAUGGUGAAGAACUUUUUUGAAAUCCUAAGCAUGACAGACAACUUAGAUUUUCCAACUUCAUCACGGCUCAACCGCGGAGAUAGAAUUUCAAUAAGAAUAAAUGAAGAAAUUAUCCAACCAAAAGGCUUUAUUGCCACUGCUGCUACUUCUUUGUGGCUCCCUCUUUCAUUCCAAGAUGUCUUCAAUUUUUUCAAAGAUGACAAGACAAGAAGUCAGUGGGAUAUUUUGACUGGUGGGAAUAAUGUGAUUGAGUUAGCUCGAGUACUAACAGGAACUCUUCCAGAAAACAGUAUUACAAUCAUUCAGCCUUGUAUGCAAAAGGAAAUGUUAGUGAUCCAAGAGACAAGCAUUGAUAGUAUGGGAGCAUUUUUAGUUUAUGCACCCAUAGAUUUACAAGCAAUCACUUCAAUUGUCAAUGGAGGUGAUGUAAAAAGAGUUCCCAUUUUGCCCUCAGGUAUCACCAUAAGUCCUGAUGGUCGCCUCUCCUCGGAUAGGGACAGUACUGCAAAUGCUGAAAAUGGUUCAAUUUUGACAGUGACUUUUCAAAUAUUGAUCAGGAGAAUCAAGUAGUUGAUGUGCUUGCAAAGAAGGAAACAGAAUUAACAUACCCUGCCUAUAUCUCCAUUAAUCAGAAUUUGCUGCAACUAUAAUUAGGAUAAGUGGCAGCUUCCAAAUCUAAUGAUCAGAUACGAUAAGAUUUGUAUUCAAGCUACGGAGUUCUUGAUGGAGGAAUUUAGCGUAAUUAGUGAAGUUGUUUCCAUUUGGUCAGUAGGUCACGCGUUCACGUCGUGGAAACAAGCUCUUGCACAAAUACAAGGUAAAGCUGCGAACAAUCUUGAAGAAGUUCAUCAAUCGCUGGGAUUUCUCAAAAUCUCUGUGAAUAUAUAUUAACUAAUUGUAAACUGUUUAAGAGGUUUCCAGCUCUGUGCAUCGGUUCCCUUAAAUAUCUGACUCUACAUGUGUGCUCUAGUUUAGAAACUUUUCCUGAAAUACUCGGAAGCAUGGAACUGGAGAUGGAGAUUCACAUGCUAGUUUGAUGAUGAGGGAUCUAAAUUCAUUGCAUUUUUCAUUUCCAUGUUUAUUGUGUCAGAAUUUCUCGUCCAUGAGGCAUGACAUCUCUGCUUCAGAUUUCUUGUCACUGUGAGCAUUUACCAUUAAGCAUGGUGGGAAUGGAUAAAAGUGUAUCAGUGAAUUUGCCUUAAAAUUGGUAUGUACCUGAUAGCUUCUUGGGAUUUGCUGUAUGUUGCUCUGGCAGGUUAAUCUGACAUAUGAUAAAUUUUGUAAAACAGUUUGGUUGUGAAAUGCAAUGAUCAAGCUCUCU